GUGUCUAAUCUAGAGACCAAUUCACCAAUCGUUAUGUCACCCUUCUUGCUGAUCCUCGUUGCCUUGGCUGCCUUUUCUUCAUGUGCCUUCACACAGGUGGUCCUCACCCAGUCAGAACCUGCAGUGAAGAAUCCUGGACAGUCUCACAAGCUAAGUUGUAGAGCUACUGGGUUUGACGUCAACGGCUACUGGAUGGAAUGGGUCCGGCAGAAACCUGGCCAAGGCUUGGAAUGGCUAGCUCACUAUCUUAACCCUAGCAGCAAUUAUUAUUCAUCAGCAAUCCAAGGGCGAUUCACAGCCUCCAAGGACAGCUCCAGCUUCUACCUGCAAAUGAACAACCUGAAAGACGAAGACACGGCCGUCUAUUACUGUGCAAGGGACACA